AAUAAGUGCAGUUUUUCACUAUUUAUCUCCAACGUUUGACCGUUCGUCUUAUUUGAAUUUUUUUUAUAAUUACUAUUUUUAUUGUUAUUAGAUGAUAAAACAUGUAUAAUACUUUAUGUGGGGUAAUUUUUUUAAAGAAAAUCAUAAAUUUUUUAAAUAAGACGGACGGUCAAACAUUGGACACGAAUUUCCACGGCUGCACUUAUU
rfam:Oryza barthii chromosome 3, whole genome shotgun sequence.